UACGAAGGUGGCUAGCGUUGUUCGGAAUCACUGGGCGUAAAGCGCACGUAGGCGGAUUUGUCAGUCAGGGGUGAAAUCCCGGAGCUCAACUCCGGAACUGCCUUUGAUACUGGCCAUCUAGAGAUCGGAAGAGGUGAGUGGAAUUCCCAGUGUAGAGGUGAAAUUCGUAGAUAUUGGGAAGAGCACCAGUGGCGAAGGCAACUCCCUGGGCCUGCACUGACGCUCAUGCACGAAAGCGUGGGGAGCAAACAGG
rnacentral:rRNA from 1 species